ACUGCCUCAACCUUAGCCAAGCUGCCAUUGGCAGAGUUAGGAGAUGCGGACACACUCCUUCUACACCCACCUCUGCACAGAGAGACGCCAGUUCUCCCGCUGUGUUGCCCUCCAUUGAUCCACGUACCUGGCUUAGCCAUUUCCCAGAUGUGUCCAACAAGAUCAGUCUCCAAAAGCCUCUCUCCUAAGGGCAGAUGAACCCAGCCCAGCUGUCCCCUGCUCUGGGCAUAUCACCAGGACUUGGUUCUCCAUGCGUCUCCCCUGUUAACCGCCGUAGGAUCCAAGGCCAGUACAGUCUUGAUUUUACCAUCUGUGAAAUGGGAAACCACUAAAGCACCCUCCCAGCCAAUGUCCCUGGAAGAGAGCAGUGCAAGGAAUGAUGGCACACCGAUGAGCCAGGCAUCUCCUCUGGGACCAGGCAGGUUAUGUGCCUGUGAGGGAGACUGCCUAGCCCGACUGUUUUCUGUAAGGUUCAUUUCCAAGUCCAUCCACAGUGUUAUGAGGAUCAAUGCUUCCUGUCUUCUUGGGGCUGGAUACUCUCCCAUGGCGUGCAUGAUUGGAUGGACACGUGAUGGUCUCUGCUCCUGGGCUGCUGUGAACUGAAGCUUGGACAUCUUUUGGCCAUUGGGAGACCUUCUCCAGAGAAAUAUCUGCCCAAACCUCUUGUCCAUUAAAACUUCUGGGUCAUUGGCUCUUGUC